rnacentral:rRNA from 1 species
UACAGAGGGUGCAAACGUUGUUCGGAAUUACUGGGCGUAAAGCGCGUGUAGGCGGCCCGGAAAGUCGGAUGUGAAAGCCCUGGGCUUAACCUAGGAAGUGCAUUCGAAACUGCUGGGCUUGAGUUCUGGAGAGGAAGGCGGAAUUCUCGGUGUAGAGGUGAAAUUCGUAGAUAUCGAGAGGAACACCGGUGGCGAAGGCGGCCUUCUGGACAGUGACUGACGCUGAGACGCGAAAGCGUGGGGAGCAAACAGG